rnacentral:lncRNA from 1 species
ACCUUGGCCUCCCAAAAUGCUAGGUUUACAGGCAUUAGCCACUGUGCCUGCCCCCCAUUUUCCUAUUAUUUUGUCUUCUCUCUUCCCGGCUACAGGGAUUUCUCUCAAGAGAUAGGCUGGCUUCACGUGCAAUUCUUGGUGCUCUCCUUGGGAUGAGUAUCUAUGGUGCCUUCUAGAGCUGGUAAUUGCAAUGUGACCACCAUGGACAGCCAUUAGCAUGUCUGCUCCACCCCUUCUUUGGGUACAUGCCCCUCUGGUCCCCCAAACAGAGACCUGGGGCCUUCCUUCACACUCUCCUCUCCCUUCUUCCCCACAUCCAAAUGGUGACCAGGAUUUGCCUUUACCCCGGAAUCUUCUCUCCAUGCACAGCCCAUUCUCGGCUCAGGUUCUCCUUAUUUCUCACCUGGAUUAAUGCUAUGGUUUUUCUCAACAUCUAUGCUUGGCCUCUUUUGUGGGAGGCUUUUCUUGUCCACCUGCACCCCUCAGUCUUGGCAGGAUGCCCUAUAUCUUUGCACUGCAACUUAUCCCAUGUACACUGAUUACAUAUUUAAUUUUGUCUCUUCCUCCAAUUCACCAUAAGCUUCUUGAGGUUGAAGACUGUGUUUUGUCCUUGAAUGGCCAGCUCUGAACAAUGCCCGACACAUCGCUGAUACUCAUUGUCUGUUGAGUAAAUGGAAGAUGAUUUGCAGUUGGUGCUGUGUUUUGUGUUACUGGGGGAAUCUUGUCCUGAGGGAUCUGAGUGUGAAUAUGCAGCUUCUCUAUCUGGGGCUUUGGAGUCUCUUUCUGUUGCCCAAGCUGGAAUGGCGUGAUCACGGCUCACUGUAGCCUUGAACUUCUGGGUUGAAGCAAUCCUCCCACCUCAGCCUCCUGAGUAGCUGGGACUACAGAUGUGCGCCACCACCCCUGGCUAGUGUUUGUAUUUUUUUUUGUAGAGAUGGGGUUUCUCCAUGUUGCCCAGUCUGGUCUCGAACUCAUAGGCCCAAGCAAUCCUCCUGCCUCAGCCUCCAAAAGUACUGUAGAAAUACACUUUUUAAAUUAAAACAGGCAGGUUGAAUGGGGCUCAAACCUAAGGAUUUAGUUUUUAGGCUCUAUGAUGUAGAAAAACAUCUGUUUCUUCGAUAUUACCAAAACCUCAGCAUAUUGUAUAGUAUAAUACUUGGUUAUAGCAGGCAUUUAAAAACAGUAAAUAAUAAAAACAAUAAGAGCUAUCAUUUGAGUGCUUCCCAUGUGCUAUGUAUUUCCUAUUCUGAAUAUUAUGUGAAUAUCUUUAGUCCUCACAACAGUUUUAUGAAGUUAGUAUUAUUAUUAUUAUCUCUAUUUAACAUUUGAGAGCACUGGGACCCAGAAGACUUCAGUGACAUGGUUAAGAACAACCGCAAGUCAGUAAUGGCACCAGAUAUGGACAUGGU